GAUGAACGCUGGCGGCGUGCCUAAUACAUGCAAGUCGAGCGAACGGACGAGAAGCUUGCUUCUCUGAUGUUAGCGGCGGACGGGUGAGUAACACGUGGAUAACCUACCUAUAAGACUGGGAUAACUUCGGGAAACCGGAGCUAAUACCGGAUAAUAUUUUGAACCGCAUGGUUCAAAAGUGAAAGACGGUUUUGCUGUCACUUAUAGAUGGAUCCGCGCUGCAUUAGCUAGUUGGUAAGGUAACGGCUUACCAAGGCAACGAUGCAUAGCCGACCUGAGAGGGUGAUCGGCCACACUGGAACUGAGACACGGUCCAGACUCCUACGGGAGGCAGCAGUAGGGAAUCUUCCGCAAUGGGCGAAAGCCUGACGGAGCAACGCCGCGUGAGUGAUGAAGGUCUUCGGAUCGUAAAACUCUGUUAUUAGGGAAGAACAUAUGUGUAAGUAACUGUGCACAUCUUGACGGUACCUAAUCAGAAAGCCCCGGCUAACUACGUG
rnacentral:rRNA from 1 species